UCCAUGAUAGCUCAGUUGGUAAAGAAUCUGCCUGCAGUGCAGGAGACCCUGGUUUGAUUCCUGGAUUAGGAA
rnacentral:tRNA from 1 species